ensembl:lncRNA
CGCCGCCCGCCCCCCGGCCGCCACGGCGCACGCGCACUGCGCCCGCCGAACUGCGACGGCCGCGCCGCCCCGGCGCCCGGCGCCGCCGGACGUACUGCGCAGGCGCCGGCAGGGGGCGGAGUCUGGAGGCGAGGGCGGGGCCUGGCGCUGCUCACCUGGAGGGUGGGGCGCGCACCCGUGGGCGCCAGGUGCGCGCUGGGGAGCCGCGGGCGGUGCGCAGGCCCGGGCUCCCUUAGGGGCGCAGCGAGGUCAGGAAAGGCGAACGGCGAGCCGCGGGCGUCAGCGCGCCGGCGUUGGCACUUGCACAGGAGGACGGGUUUCAGGAAGUAUCCUGCCUCUUUGUCCUGGGACGUUACAUCCGCUGUCUCGGGGCCUCGCUAGCUGCGGAGAUGAAUGGGGCUGGGUCACGUGGCCGUGCACAGCGCAGGUGCGCUCUCGACCCUGCAGAGCGGCAGCUUCUUCGGGCUGCAGGACGCGAGCCCUUUAAAAAUAUGGAUGGUCUCCCCAAGCUCCCUCGAAGACACACCGCCUUGCUGCACGCCGCACUGCGCAGCAGCCGGGAAGCUCGGCUCGGUCGGCAGCAGAGUCCAGGGCCGCCUGCGAGCACCUGCUGAGAGCACCUGCUGCAAACACCUGGCCUGGCUUAUCUGCAGCCACUGUCCUAGAAGUCACCCCGGGGUCCUCGCGAGGCUGCAAGCCAAGACUUCGCACGAUCGCACGUGAAUCCGUGCGACUUCGGUUCCAGCAGACACAAACCUCCAAAGCCACGAUAGUCAUCGAUUGUCACGACUGCAAGGAAGGAACUAUAAGGAGAGAAGAGAACAGGUUCUGCGUGCUAGGGAGAUCUCCAUCCGUUUCCGGAAAGAUGUAGAUAGUCCUCCCUUCACCAGCCUGUCAUCCCAACGCUGGAAAGUUGAUUUGGAAGAAAGUCUCUGCUACUCAGUUGAUCUUGAUCCACAUUUCCAAUCAAAGGGGGCAAAAACUGGGUAAUUAAAGGGUUCAUCGAUGACUACUGAAGACCAGUUAGGACCUGUAGAUGGAUUCCUUAAUUUUAAAAAUUGAUCCCCAGGCGUGUCCUAUAGAGGCAAGAUAUAAUAAUAAUAAUGAGGGGCCAUGGGAAGAAAAUGGAGCCUCCUCUUGCCCCUGCUUGCUGAGAACCUAGAGAAUCAUGAAGGCCAAAAUUCCAUAAAUUUCCCAUCUUGUAAAACUUGUUUUAGGUCUGCUAUAUUCCUGGAAAUUAAUGGUCUCACCCAUUUCCUUCAUAUCCUUUGUGCUAAUUCUUUUAAAGCUAGCCAGUCAUGAAAGACUGUGAGAUCAGACCCCAGCCUAUAGGAAAAAGACACAACCUCCACCUGCCUUAGAAUAAAAACCAAGUGAGCUUACCGCCCCAGUGUUCUUGCUAGCAUGGUUUGUGCUAUGGUGGAGCUGGAUUACAGGUGUGUUCUGCCACACCUGGUGUAUGCGGUGCUGGAGUGAACCCAAGGUUUCAUGCAUGUAGUCCCCACCCUGAGCUAUAUCCCCAGCCCAACACAGUCAUUUUCUGUCAUAGCUUAAUAUCUGGCAACUAGAGAUCCUGCAGGCACAAGAUACAGUUGCCAACCCCUCCAGGCUUCGUUCCUGUGGUGAAUAGGAAUGUCCCCCAUAGACUUAUAUGGUUGAAUGCUUGGUCACUAGGAAUGACACCCUUAGGAGGUGUGGCCUUGGUGUGUCACGGGGGUGGGCUUUGAGGUCUCAGAAGUUCAAGCCAGGCCUAGUGACUCAAUUCAUUUGCUGCUGCCUGCAGAUCAAGAUGUAGAACUCCCAGCUUCUCCAGCACCAUGUCUGCCUGCUGCCACCAUGUUUCCCGCCAUGACAAUAAAGGACUAAACCUCUGAACUAUAAGCCAGCCCCAAUUAAAUGUUUCCCUAUAUAAGAGUCACCAUUGUCACAGUGUCUCUUCACAGCAAUAGAAACCCUAAGACACCUCCCAACAUCACUGCUGAGUAAAGAGAGCCACAGCCCUUCCACAUCCUGACCAGACAUGUCAAGGGAACCACAAGAGAUCUGGAGGCACCAUCCCCAGGAGGGGAUGCUUAGUGUGCAUGUUCAAGAAUGUCUAUGCUGUGUUCUGUGAACAUUUCACGGUGGUGGGGAAUGUUUACUGAGUGGAGAACUCUAAGAUGGACACAGUGAUAGCACGGUCAGCCAUUCCUGCCACCUCGCUGGCUUCCUGUGUCCCCUGGUAUAGGGCCACCACCCUUCAGGUUACUUUCUGCACAAGUGCACCAAUCAAUGUGUCUAAGUGUUUUCCUCAGAGACGCUGGCUCGGGAUUGGAUCAUCCUCCCCACUUCUCUCACCUGUAUUGGACGGCACUGAUCCCAUCAGUUAUGCCAGUGUUGGUUUGUUUGCUUUUCUAUUUCCUGGGCCUUCACCCCAUGAUAAAGGCCAAAGGGCAGGGAUCAAAUCUAUUUCAAUGCCAGGCUACUCCCUAGACAGUAGUUGGGAAUCAACCCUAUUUGUCACAGAGGACUGUGGGAAUUCCUGGGAAUAC